rfam:Felis catus isolate Cinnamon breed Abyssinian chromosome D4, whole genome shotgun sequence.
GCCUGAGUGGCUCAGUCGGUUGAGUGACCGACUUCGGCUCAGGUCAUGAUCUCACAAUUUGUGGGUUCAAGCCCCGCGUCGGGCU